AUGAACGCUGGCGGCGUGCCUAAUACCUGCAAGUAGAACGCUGAAGCUUGGUGCUUGCACCGAGCGGAUGAGUUGCGAACGGGUGAGUAACGCGUAGGUAACCUGCCUCUUAGCGGGGGAUAACUAUUGGAAACGAUAGCUAAUACCGCAUAAAAGUCGAUAUCGCAUGAUAUUGAUUUGAAAGGUGCAAAUGCAUCACUAAGAGAUGGACCUGCGUUGUAUUAGCUAGUUGGUGAGGUAACGGCUCACCAAGGCGACGAUACAUAGCCGACCUGAGAGGGUGAUCGGCCACACUGGGAAUGAGACACGGCCCAGACUCCUACGGGAGGCAGCAGUAGGGAAUCUUCGGCAAUGGGGGCAACCCUGACCGAGCAACGCCGCGUGAGUGAAGGAGGUUUUCGGAUCGUAAAGCUCUGUUGUAAGAGAAGAACGAGUGUGAGAGUGGAAAGUUCACACUGUGACGGUAACUUACCAGAAAGGGACGGCUAACUACGUG
rnacentral:rRNA from 1 species